rnacentral:rRNA from 1 species
UUGAUCCUGGCUCAGGACGAACGCUGGCGGCGUGCCUAAUACAUGCAAGUCGAACGCUUCUUUUUCCACCGGAGCUUGCUCCACCGGAAAAAGAGGAGUGGCGAACGGGUGAGUAACACGUGGGUAACCUGCCCAUCAGAAGGGGAUAACACUUGGAAACAGGUGCUAAUACCGUAUAACAAUCAAAACCGCAUGGUUUUGAUUUGAAAGGCGCUUUCGGGUGUCGCUGAUGGAUGGACCCGCGGUGCAUUAGCUAGUUGGUGAGGUAACGGCUCACCAAGGCCACGAUGCAUAGCCGACCUGAGAGGGUGAUCGGCCACAUUGGGACUGAGACACGGCCCAAACUCCUACGGGAGGCAGCAGUAGGGAAUCUUCGGCAAUGGACGAAAGUCUGACCGAGCAACGCCGCGUGAGUGAAGAAGGUUUUCGGAUCGUAAAACUCUGUUGUUAGAGAAGAACAAGGAUGAGAGUAACUGUUCAUCCCUUGACGGUAUCUAACCAGAAAGCCACGGCUAACUACGUGCCAGCAGCCGCGG